UCUUCCGAUGUUGAUAAUAUGAAAUCCAUCUACAUCUUUUUCAGGGGCAAUUCCAUUGCAUACUGUCCGCUCAUCCACAUGGUCUGAAACGUAAAUACAGAGACAUGAAAUGGAUGGACAAUUAUACAUACAUAUAUGUAAAUUUUUAAGACACUGCCAAUCUUUUUUCAAAGUAUACCAUGUUGCAUUCCCACCAACAACACAUCCUCAUCAAUACAUGGUUCCAUUGGAUUUUCUACAUAGAUGAUCAUGUUAUCUGCUUUUAAUUUUCUUUUUCUUGCCUUGCCUUAUGUGUUGGUUAGAAUCUCCAAUACAAUGUUGAAUAGACAUGGUUAAGAAUGGACAUUCUUAAUUUCUUCCUGAUCAUAUGAGGAAAAUAUUGUCUUUCAUAAUCAACUAUGAUGUUAGCUGCAAAUUUUUCUUAUCUUUGAUUAUGUUUUGUUACUAGUUUUUAGACAGCUUUUUAUCAGGAAUCAAUUAUGAAUUUUA